GACGAACGCUGGCGGCGUGCUUAACACAUGCAAGUGGAACGGAAAGACCCUGCUUUUGUGGGGUGCUCGAGUGGCGAACGGGUGAGUAACACGUGAGUAACCUGCCCUUGACUUUGGGAUAACUUCAGGAAACUGGGGCUAAUACCGGAUAGGAGCUCCUGCUGCAUGGUGGGGGUUGGAAAGUUUCGGCGGUUGGGGAUGGACUCGCGGCUUAUCAGCUUGUUGGUGGGGUAGUGGCUUACCAAGGCUUUGACGGGUAGCCGGCCUGAGAGGGUGACCGGCCACAUUGGGACUGAGAUACGGCCCAGACUCCUACGGGAGGCAGCAGUGGGGAAUAUUGCACAAUGGGCGGAAGCCUGAUGCAGCAACGCCGCGUGCGGGAUGACGGCCUUCGGGUUGUAAACCGCUUUCGCCUGUGACGAAGCGUGAGUGACGGUAAUGGGUAAAGAAGCACCGGCUAACUACGUG
rnacentral:rRNA from 1 species